rnacentral:rRNA from 1 species
UACAGAGGGGGCAAGCGUUAUUCGGAAUUAUUGGGCGUAAAGGGCGCGUAGGCGGCUUGGCAAGUGGAUGGUGAAAUCCCUCGGCUUAACCGAGGAACUGCCGUCCAAACUGCUUUGCUUGAGGCCGGGAGAGGCGAGUGGAAUUCCCAGUGUAGCGGCGAAAUGCGUAGAUAUUGGGAGGAACACCAGUGGCGAAGGCGGCUCGCUGGACCGGUUCUGACGCUGAUGCGCGAAAGCGUGGGGAGCAAACGGG